rnacentral:rRNA from 1 species
CUCAUAGCGUAUAUUUAAGUUGUUGCAGUUAAAAAGCUCGUAGUCGGAUUUUGGCUGAGAACGGUCGGUCCGCCGUUAGGUGUGCACUGACUGGUCUCAGCUUCCUGGUGAGGAGGUGUGCUUCAUCGCCACUUAGUCACCGUGGUUACUUUGAAAAAAUUAGAGUGUUCAAAGCGGGCUUACGCUUGAAUAUAUUAGCAUGGAAUAACACCAUAGGACUCCUGUCCUAUUUCGUUGGUCUCGGGACGGGAGUAAUGAUUAAGAGGAACAGUUGGGGGCAUUCGUAUUUCAUUGUCAGAGGUGAGAUUCUUGGAUUUAUGAAAGACGAACUUCUGCGAAAGCAUUUGCCAAGGAUGUUUUCAUUGAUCAAGAACGAAAGUUGGGGGCUCGAAGAUGAUUAGAUACCAUCCUAGUCUCAACCAUAAACGAUGCCGACUAGGGAUUGGCGGAUGUUAAUUGAUGACUUCGCCAGCACCUUAUGAGAAAUCAAAGUUUUUGGGUUCCGGGGGGAGUAUGGUCGCAAGGCUGAAACUUAAAGGAAUUGACGGAAGGGCACCACCAGGCGUGGAGCCUGCGGCUUAAUUUGACUUAACACGGGGAAACUUACCAGGUCCAGACAUAGUAAGGAUUGACAGAUUGAGAGCUCUUUCUUGAUUCUAUGGGUGGUGGUGCAUGGCCGUUCUUAGUUGGUGGAGUGAUUUGUCUGGUUAAUUC